rnacentral:rRNA from 1 species
UACGGGGGGAGCAAGCGUUGUUCGGAUUUACUGGGCGUAAAGGGCGCGUAGGCGGCCACCGCAAGUCGGUUGUGAAAUCUCCGGGCUUAACCCGGAAAGGUCAAUCGAUACUGCGGGGCUAGAGUGCAGAAGGGGCAACUGGAAUUCUCGGUGUAGCGGUGAAAUGCGUAGAUAUUGGGAGGAACACCAGUGGCGAAGGCGGCUCACUGGACCGGGUUCUGACGCUGAGGCGCGAAAGCGUGGGGAGCAAGCGGG